GGGCAACCUCCAGCAGUAAGAGAUAUAAAGGUUCACUGCAGUUUUGACUAUGCUCAACAAGUACUGUACACAUACUAUGCUCAGCAAGUGGAUUCUCAUGCAGGCUCUCAGAUUUUCUACCUAGUGUAUGAAAAGUACAGUACUGUUGUCUGGUGGAAGAGGAGCAAACAGUGUGGUAUCUAUGGUCCUUAUUUUAGUUCUGGAAUGUGCCUUGUUAUGAUGGGUCUACAUGAUGACUUGGAGUACAACCUGAUGGAGGCUAGGCAUACAGAAUUCGGUCCUGAACAUGUUUAGAAUGUCUUCUGCAUGACCUGGUGUAGUAUUCUUGAAGGAUUAUAACUUCAACCCAGAGACGGAGAUUAAUAUUUUAGGCAGGGGGUUGUCAUGACAGGCAAAUUCUCCAACCGUAUUACCAUUCCUGAGCUGGAUGCCUGUCGACAGUGGUACCUGUAUAAUGAAAUAGCACCCCAUUCCAGCAACAUCAGUGUAUGCUCAAAACCAGCAGUACCAAAGCCAUUAAAAUUGAGAACUCAGUCAUUUAAAACGAAGAAUGAGUGGAAAAUAGUGUUUAACAUUUAAAGUAAUACAGAGAAAGAGCUCAGCUCAUUUGGUAUUUUCUGAGAUUUUAAUUAAAUUGAAAAUGUUUUUGAUUUCUUAAAGAUGUACUAAACCCAAAUUCCAUACAUUUGAAUAUGAACAAAUGCUACAUAUAGCUUAUUUUAACAUUGAAUUAUCAAGUUUAUGGUGUAAGCAGUACUAUGUAUUGGUUAAAUAUAGACACACUGUAUGUAUGUAAGGCUGAACACAGUAUAAAUAUGAAAAUUCUUUAAAACACUGGAAGAUUUUUCAGCAAUCUACUGUUUAGUACUGCAUGACAUAAAAUCAUGAAUGUAGUUCUACAUACACAGUUGAUUUAUACAUUAAGCAAAGUUAAAUAUAUUUAUUGAUGAUUUUCUACAAGUAAGUAAGUAAUUACCUAAAUAUUAAAUAUUUUAAUGAAGAUAUAUUUUAUACAACUAUAUAAGUUGAAAAAAGCUACCCUCCAGGAAGAAUAUUUUGAAAUGAUACUAUUACUUGAACAUUUAUGUAAAUAAUGAAGGAAAUAAAAAAUGUUGUUGCCAUGGAAACAGAACUUGAGUAUUAAGUAUAUCUGCUUUCAUAGCAGAGUCAUAUGACUUUUGAAUAUAAUUAUGUAAACAAUUUAAUGUUAUAUAAUCAUCACUGACACAAUAUUAAAUUGACACUGUCAUUGAGCAAUGCAUCUUACAUUUGAAGUUGAAUCAUUAUGACCCAUUACAAAUAUUAGAUAUUUAUGGAAUUGCUUUUAGAUAUUUUUGAGAUGAAUAUAAAUCAGAUGUUUUUUAGAGAACUAAUAAUAUUAUAUAUUUUAUAAAUUUACAUUUUUUUUUGCAUCAAAUGUAGGCUAAAAUUUUUGUUGAAUUGACAUUUAAAGGAAUUGUUGUAUUUUGUUGCUAUGGAAACUUGAAUUAUGAUAUUUUUUUAAAUAUGAAAUAGCAUAUUUAUAGCAAGUAGGCAUUAUCAACUGUGCUAAUCAUGUUAAAUACUUUUGAUAUUGAUGGCAAAAUAUGAUAUUAAAAUACAUGAUAAAAGUA